rnacentral:lncRNA from 1 species
AGCAGGGGCCCUGAGCAUGCUGCCUUCCCCAGGUCUAGAUCCACCCUGGGGAUGCGAACAGCGUGCACGCUGUUUUGAGUGGAGUUGCGUAUCCAGUGUCUUCUGGAGGCCAGGGUCUGUCCUGGCUCCCUAUAGUUUGGCAGUCUCUGCCCUUGGUAGUCCUAUCCAGCUGUGGCCCCAUGCCAGCAUCUCAGCCUGUCCCUGAUCUCUUCCAGGCACGAGGCCCAGAGAUUGGAACAAGAAGCCCGAGGCCGACUAGAGAGGCAGAAGAUCUUGGACCAAUCAGAAGCUGAAAAAGCUCGCAAAGAACUCCUGGAGCUUGAAGCUUUGAGGUGGGUGGAGAACCCGAGGAGGAUGGUCUUGGCAAGUGGUGGGUGGGGGCACCAGGGUGUGUUUGAAACGGAACAGCAUGUUGCAUGGCCUAAAUCAAGGCCCCAAGUGGUCAGGGCUUUCUUUUGAGUCUUAUAGGACUCUGCCUCCCCCUCCAGCAUGGCGGUAGAGAGCACCGGGACUGCCAAGGCUGAGGCUGAGUCCCGUGCAGAGGCUGCGCGGAUUGAGGGCGAAGGCUCUGUGCUGCAGGCCAAGCUGAAGGCACAGGCUUUGGCCAUUGAGACGGAGGCUGAGCUCCAGCGGGUCCAGAAAGUACGAGAGCUGGAACUGGUCUAUGCCCGGGCUCAGCUGGAGCUGGAAGUGAGCAAGGCCCAGCAACUGGCUGAGGUGGAGGCAAAGAAGUUCAAGCAGAUGACAGAGGCCCUGGGCCCCAGCACCAUCAGGGACCUGGCUGUGGCCGGGCCAGAGAUGCAGGUCAAACUGCUCCAGUCCCUUGGUCUGAAAUCCACCUUGAUCACUGAUGGCUCCUCUCCCAUCAACCUCUUCAACACAGCCUUUGGGCUGCUGGGGCUAGGGUCUGAUGGUCAGCCCCAGGCCCGAAUGGCGGCUAGUGGGCACAGCCCCCAGGAGGGUUUACAUAUUCGGGGUCCUCCCACCUCUCCAACUGCUGGAGGCAACCAAAUUGUACCUUAGCUCUUACUCACUCACAACUGACCAAUAAAGUGGACAUUUCUGGGCAUUUAAAUUCUUUAUCUUAAGCCUGGGCUACGAGGAGCUCACUGGUGGAGGGAAGUGUACCCUUGACAUCUGGAAGGUAAUUACUAGAGACUAUGCACAUCUGUAAAGUGGAGAGGAAACGGAGUCAGAGAUGAGCCCAAAGUUGCCCUGAUCACAAUGGGAUCCCCAAAGCCUUGGCAAGCUGUCUGUCCUUUAGGGAGUCAACUUUCCUAGAUCCCAGGUCAGGAAGAUGAUGUCACCCAUGGAAGAACGCAGUCUGCCUGCCAAGCCCUCUGGGAUGGCUGGGACUGGCAGCCUCUCCAUCCAUUCAUCCCUCUAAGAACUCAGGUUGGCCUGGCAGUUCUGAAUCUACCCAGAGCCACCAUGGAGGCCCCUCACCCCCAGCCUACUUAGGUAACUGCCCUUUGGCUCCACCUGC